CCCUUAGAUGUUCUGGGCCGCACGCGCGCUACACUGAUGCAUUCAACGAGUUACCUUGGCCGAGAGGCCUGGGCAAUCUUUUGAACGUGCAUCGUGAUAGGGAUAGAUUAUUGCAAUUAUUAAUCUUGAACGAGGAAUUCCUAGUAAACGCAGUUCAUCAAACUGCAUUGAUUACGUCCCUGCCCUUUGUACACACCUCCCGUCGCACCUACCGAUUGGAUGGUCCGGUGAAGCCUCGGGAUUGUGGCCAGUGCCUUUUUGGUUUUGGUUGCGAGAACUUGUCUAAACCUUAUCAUCUAGAGGAAGGUGAAGUCGUAACA
rnacentral:rRNA from 1 species